rnacentral:rRNA from 1 species
UACAGAGGUCCCAAGCGUUGUUCGGAAUCACUGGGCGUAAAGGGUGCGCAGGCCGCGCGGGCAGUCAAAUGUGUAAUUCAGGGGCUCAACCCCUGCACUGCGCUUGAUACUUCCGCGCUAGAACCUUGGAGAGGAGUCUGGAAUUCUCGGUGUAGCAGUGAAAUGCGUGGAUAUCGAGAAGAACACUAAGGGCGUAAGCAAGACUCUGGACAAGCGUUGACGCUCAAGCACGAAGGCUAGGGGAGCGAACGGG